rnacentral:rRNA from 1 species
AUUGAACGCUGGCGGCAGGCCUAACACAUGCAAGUCGGACGGUAGCACAGAGAGCUUGCUCUUGGGUGACGAGUGGCGGACGGGUGAGUAAUGUCUGGGGAUCUGCCCGAUAGAGGGGGAUAACCACUGGAAACGGUGGCUAAUACCGCAUAACGUCGCAAGACCAAAGAGGGGGACCUUCGGGCCUCUCACUAUCGGAUGAACCCAGAUGGGAUUAGCUAGUAGGCGGGGUAAUGGCACACCUAGGCGACGAUCCCUAGCUGGUCUGAGAGGAUGACCAGCCACAUUGGAACUGAGACACGGUCCAGACUCCUACGGGAGGCGGCAGUGGGGAAUAUUGCACAAUGGUCGCAAGCCUGAUGCAGCCAUGCCGCGUGUAUGAAGAAGGCCUUCGGGUUGUAAAGUACUUUCAGCGGGGAGGAAGGCGGUGCGGUUAAUAACCGUACCGAUUGACGUUACCCGCAGAAGAAGCACCGGCUAACUCCGUGCCAGCCGCCGCGGUAA